rnacentral:rRNA from 1 species
AGUAGGGAAUCUUCCGCAAUGGGCGAAAGCCUGACGGAGCAACGCCGCGUGAGUGAAGAAGGUCUUCGGAUCGUAAAACUCUGUUAUUAGGGAAGAACAAAUGUGUAAGUAACUAUGCACGUCUUGACGGUACCUAAUCAGAAAGCCACGGCUAACUACGUGCCAGCAGCCGCGGUAAUACGUAGGUGGCAAGCGUUAUCCGGAAUUAUUGGGCGUAAAGCGCGCGUAGGCGGUUUUUUAAGUCUGAUGUGAAAGCCCACGGCUCAACCGUGGAGGGUCAUUGGAAACUGGAAAACUUGAGUGCAGAAGAGGAAAGUGGAAUUCCAUGUGUAGCGGUGAAAUGCGCAGAGAUAUGGAGGAACACCAGUGGCGAAGGCGACUUUCUGGUCUGUAACUGACGCUGAUGUGCGAAAGCGUGGGGAUCAAACAGGAUUAGAUACCCUGGUAGUCCACGCCGUAAACGAUGAGUGCUAAGUGUUAGGGGGUUUCCGCCCCUUAGUGCUGCAGCUAACGCAUUAAGCACUCCGCCUGGGGAGUACGACCGCAAGGUUGAAAC